CCCAUUUUAUAGCUUGAAUGGCAGGAUCAUGAUUAUUUUUCAUCUUGGCAAUUUUGCUCUUAUUUCAUGUUACUGCCCAUCACAUUCCAAAAGCAAUUUCUGUACUUUUCUAUCUAUUCUGUGCUCAUUUUCCUAGUUCUCUUCGGCAGUCAAAAUAGGGGGCCAUCUUAAUGAUUGUUGAUUUGUAAUUCGAGUUAGGAUCUGAAGAAUGAGGAUUUGUUGUCUUUUCUUAAUUUCUUUGCUUUUGUUCUCCGAAGACUGAUUUUAGAACUUUGUGAGGUCACCUCUUGUAAUUCAAAUUCUAAACACCAUUCUACUGUCAUUAUUUUUCAGGCAGUAAUAAACAAGGACGUCCUCACAGAACUUCUGGCCAAGCACACACUCUCUCUCUUUACACCGGGGUGUUUUGUUCGGCUCAAAUGGAUGUUCUAGCAGGUUGACUUAUCUCUUCAAUGCCACUACUGUCUCCAGAUUCUUUGGCAAGGUCAGGAAAAGAUAAUGGCAGAUGUUAUGCCCCCAGAGGACUGGGACAAAUCAGCUGGCAUUAAAGUUGUAGAGCCCUUCUAGUGCCAUCAUUCCUUCUUCCCUUGAAGGAGAAGAGAGGUGGGUCGGGGAAUGCCAGUUCCUCCACAGAAAGAAAGAAUUGCCUAGCCCUUUAGAACAACCGAUAAUGCUUUGUCAUGGUGCACGAGCCAAUCUUGGAUGCACCAAGCAUCUCACCUCUGUAAAAUCGGUGUUGAAGAACGUAUUUAGAGGGUAGAAAAGCAUCGAAUAUGAACAAAAAUAGUUACCUAUCACAAGCAACAUAGAAAUUCUGUACAAUUUUAUCGAUCAUCUCAAGAUUCAAUCUAUCAUGCUAGAUUGUAUUUUGUGUUUCUCCUCCAUUAACUUUUCAAGCAACCUUUUCAGUUUCUUUGUUAAGCUAAUCAAACUAGAUUUUGUCAUUUUACAAUUGUUUUAGAUCGAAAGGUUGUUCAAGACAUACCCUAGAUACAAUGACAUCUAUCUCGCCCAUGCACAACAACCCAUUGCUUCAUCUCAUGGUUAGAGGUUCAGAUAUUAGACAUUAGAUUGUCUUAUUUCUCAUGAUCAUUGCUACAAGGAACACAUUGUUAUAUAUAGUUACCUGAUGUUGAAGGAUGCAAAGAGAACAAAUGUGAGCUUACUAGAACACCACAUGGAAGACGGUUCAUAAGAGUUGAAUUCUUUUCUUGAUUUUUUGUUUGAGCUUAUUGUUGCUCGAGGACCAUCCGCUGGGUUUGAUGUGUCUUUGAAUGGAUUUGACCUGUUUCAUGGUCAUGUUUUCAUUGCUGCUGAAACAAGACGACUCGGUAUAUUAUAAGUUUUGUGUGGUAGAGAUUACAAUUUGUUUUUUAGAUGGAUUCUUGUGUGACAUUUAGUUUGCAUUAGUGCCCUUGGGGAUGAUGUGGCUUUGCUACUAGACAUUGGAAACUAUGAUUGUGUGGUUAAACUUGACAAAAAAUUAGUGAUGAAGAUGUUAUACAAUCACAUAGUUGAUGGUUUUCUCAUCUUGAAGGCAUGAGCUGGUGUUGUUCAUCAAUGCAUGAGGCCUUGAACACCCAUAUAGACUUGUUUAUUUGCGGCAGACAGAUAUGUAUCCAUGUACGAAUCAUUUAGAGACUGAACUGUACUCGCGUGUUUAUCAAUUGGUAAAGGAAGUGCAAAUAGUUCAAUAAGAUAGCUGUAGUCUUUCGUCAAUGGAUGGGCAUCAAACUCUGUGAAAAAAAGAGGGUUUUUUUUUCCCAACGACUUGCUGCUUGUUUUAUUAACCUUUCCUUAAUCAUUUUGCAGGUUCCAUGCCAGAGAAUACCCAGCAUAUGAUAAAGAAAUAUUUCCAUACAACAUGGGAUAUUGUCAAACAGGUAAACUGGUAAAACUUGCAUGGAAAAAAGUCCACUGGCUGUUACUUGCUAGGAAUAACAACUUCAGCCCCUUAAUUUCUAAAUGUACUGUAUUAAAUAUAACCAACUCAGAAUAACAAUUUUUCAUCCCUUCAUUUCCUUUGUUCUUAGUUUUGAAUAGUGUUUUUUUUUCUUUGUCGACUUUUUAACUUGCACCUGGUGAAGAAAAUGAUCAAAGAAAGAGAAACAAGAUGUUGUGAGGUUUUCAAAUCUGUUAGUGCUUGUGCUAACGUCUUUUUUCCCUCUCAGGUUCUACUGUCGCUUAUGAUUCUAGGAAUUUGCGAAACAUUCUCUGGCUGGCUCCUUUGCCAAGCAGUUCCAUUAAAGCUUGGGUGGCACCAGGUACAUUUCUCAAAUCAAAGAGUAUCAAGUUGCUAUGUUCUAUUACUGUGACAGAUAGGGUUCUGGAUCCAGAAGCAUAAACAGUAAUCCUACCUCUCGAGCUCUGCUAUUUCUUGUCUUCAACAUUUUCAAUCAGUGGAACUCGUGAAAAGUAGGGUGUGAUUUAUGAUACUGAAGUUGUAGCCUGCAUAAAAUACUGAGAACAAAAUAAUAUUGUUGUGAAUAGCAUAAAAGUUAAUCCUUUCAGUCAUAUGAAGUCUGAACACGCAACAUAGGGAGUAGAACAUGUGGCUGGAAUUCGCUCCAUGUUUAUUAUUCCUUUGGGAACAUAUGAAGUUUUUGGUUUUCUUUGAUUUAUCAAACAUAAUAUCUCUGAGAGUGCCACAGAAUGUUAUCUAUUCUUGUGUCUUUUCUUGUAACUAUCUAAGCAAACACUAUCAUAAUCAAGUGGAAUAGCCAGGUCUCAUGCCAUAAGUAUUGCGUAAUGCAGUUUGAUAUUGAUUUGACAAGAACCCUCGUUGUGCUGGAUGCCCGUCCUGAUGGAAUCAUAUACAGAGAUCUUAUACCUGAAUAUGUAAAUUUUGCGAGGACCAUAUAUGAAGGUUUGAGCUUCAUUUUCCUUUCUUGUAUCUCACAGAUUGCAAAAUUCAAAUGUCACUGCUUUCUGUUGCUGAAACAAGUUUUAGUAGGAUUAUUGACACAUAUUUCUCCUUGGCUGAUGACUUAGGCCAUGUUGUGGUUGAUGUAAACUACUUGAAUGUUGAAGUACCAGUUCCUAACUAUCAGAUUUUCAUAUGCUGAAAACUGAAGUCCUGCUUAAGGUGCUCUUUUUCCAGUGGCAGAUAUUGCGAGGAGCCCCCAAAAUGUGAUUAUCAACAAAUGCUUGAGAUUCUUGCAGACAUCAAGACUCAUGAAUCCCUAAACACGGUGCCCAAUGCUCAAAGUUUCUGGCGCUGACAUGGAAAUCAAAUCUAGAUGCAAUCUUAUAUCAAUUACCUUAGUAGCGGGGUUUUACACAUCUAAAACUGUACAUGUUCAUUUAUUAGCUAUGCUCACAGCUCAAAUUCUAUUACAACUCGACCCUCUGAUGACUAGGAUGCACGAAGACGAACUUCUACAUUGGUUUUACAUGAAUGUGAUAGAAACUUCUUCCAAGUACUUAUUGCAGAUAAAUUUUGCUAUCAGCAUCUCCAUGGCACAAGUUUUAUCAGUGUGUAUUGUUGGUGUAUGAAUAGGAUUAUAUUUAUGUAGGAGAUUUGAAAACAUAUUUUCUAGCAACAAAGUUCACUUCUAUUUAUUCAGGUGUCAGGGUUUGCUAAUUGUGUAUUAGAGAGCAUUCAUGUCUGGAACAAAGGAAAUCAAGAUAGGACGAAAAUUAUCAAUAAUAAAAUUCCAGAAGAACUUAAUUAUCAACUCAUCAUCCCCAUGAAGAAGAAAGAAGAUCAAGUUUUCCGGUUUAAUCCAUAGUUAACAUUAACAACUCUUAUAAUUCAUAUAUUUUUCAAUUUAUUUUUCUCAAGUAUUGAGAAUAUUUUUCAAUUUUUAAUUAAAAAGUUUCAUAAUAAUGGAAAACCGAAAAUGCUUCCACAAUGUCGGCUCUUUCUUCUCGUGCGUUGAAAAGUAAAUCAAGAUCCAGUUCAAAUACCCAAAGCGUAACAAGGGUACUCUAGCUAGUCUUAAAAGCUUUGUAUUUGCUUCUAUGGAAGUGAUGAUUCUCCUCUCUAGUUUUAGUCAGUGACAAAAGGAUGCAAAAGACAACCCGCAAUUUACAGAAGGAGCCAAGGAGCCAGCACACACACUAUCUAUGCAAGAAAGAAUGUCUCAUAUCUCAAUGGUUGUAACUCUCCACCAACAGUGGAAAUGACCUCCA